GAUGGUAGUACCCAUGUCUAACUAUUGCUAUCACUGUCUGUAGGCUAUGCAGAUGGAUCUCUUUUAUUAGACAGGCUCUGCAUCACUUUUUCAUUUCAAUUUGGACUGGGCAAAGUUUUUGACAACUUGAAAAACUGAAGUCUUACAAGACAAGCUCCCAACAGUAGUUCAGGAAUGAAAAAUGCACAUUCUUCCCUGAUACUUAAAUGUCUUACUUGGUGAAAAGUCAAUAGUGUUUUUGGGACAUCAAGUCAAAGUCAUUCUAACUUAUCAAACCUUGCUUAGUCAUGUGGUGAUGCAACAUUCUCCAAAGCCCACUUUUACAGUAUAUGGCUCCUGCACUAUAGUUAUAGUAAGCAAACGGGCUGUCAGUUUUUACAAUGAGAUCAAUCUAGAGUAAAUGUGAACUGGCUGGAAAUCCAAGUUUUAGGUAUCCAGUCAAGUGGUUUCCAUUUUGCUGCACAGCUCCUGAUGCAUGCCCUGAAUAUUAAACGCUCACCCAUUUAGUUGGUGCUUUUGUCCAAAGCAACACCCACGUUUGAGAAGGCAGGGUCACAAGGGCCUCAGUCAAGAAGCACAGCACUUUAGCAGAGGAUGGUUUCGAUCCAUCGGCCUCUGGGUUAUGGGCCCAGCAGGCUUCCACUGCGCCACUCUGCUCCAUAAAGAAGUUGGCAAUCUGAAGAGACAGACUUGACGUGCAUCAUGAGAGCAAAAUGAACGCUUAGCUUGUUACUGUGGUGCCCGAAGAGGCAUGAAAGGUAUCUGGGGAUACUCUGUGGUGGAAGCCUGCCAUGACGAUAUCAGACGCUCUUCUUGGUUUGGCUCCAUGAUGGAGAGGCGUAGACGUGCAGAGGACGUCAACUUCAUGACAAUGUCCUUCUCUUCGGGGCAGGAGCAGGGCCGACGAGGACAGGAAACACAGCUUGUCUCCACGGUGCCGAGAUGGACUACAGUGGUAUCAAAGGAGAGCCAGCUUUCUUUGAGGGGCAAACUGCUUGCCUAGGGUCACACAGGAGGGUGUCUCAGGAGGAGCUGCGGAGGAGAAGCGGCAGAAAGUUGGGACUUUAGGGGAAUUUGUCUUAGAUAAAGGAGCCCUUCUGUCCUGACUGCCUCCUGAAUACAGUUAAUGAACAGUUCAUUGACAGUCUGGUAGCUUGGAAUCAGUAGCUCAGAUAAUAUGGCUAUAAAGGCAAUUUGCAGCCCUCUUUACAUAUAUUUUAACUUUUAAUUUCAUUUCAUUUCAAUUGCCUGAAUUUUGUCUUUAUACAUUAAUUGUUAUUGAUUUUUAAAUUGUUUAAAGAGGUUAAUUUCCUUCCUGAAAUGGGCUGCUUGUGCAGUUAACAUUUAAU